CUCUAGCCCCGAUCGAAGUGGAAAUCCUUGUAAACUGGGGUUCAGUUUACAAGAUUGUAACGAAGAGCGGGACGAUGU
rnacentral:sRNA from 1 species